ensembl:lncRNA
CGCGGAGCGGUGCGCCGCGGCCGCCCCGGAGCUCGGCGCCGAAGCCGCCGUCCCGCGGGCCGCGAACGGUGUUUGUAAUUUCUACGUUUUUACACGUUCGUUUAUUUGUUUUUAUUUUUCGCGCUCCGUGCUCCGCGCCGCGGGACGCGAAGGGCGAGGGGGGAAACGCAGCCGUCGCCUCGCCGUUUACUCGAGAGAAAUCGGGGCGAGCAGCGAGAGGAGCUCCCGAGCCCGGCCCCGCCGUGCCGCCCCGCCGCCGCCCGCAGGAAAAGCGGCCUUCUGGUUUGAGCGCGCGUGUGAUGGCGCUGCCUUCGAAAUACAGACGCUCCGGCUGAAAUCCGCAUCGACGCUUCUCGCUGCAGCCUCGGGGCGUCCGCGCUGUAAGGCUCCGGCCGUUCGUGCCGGCGCACCGAGACGUCGACUCCGGACUGCGUCACGGAGCAGCUUCAGCCGCACCGCCGCGCGCGUAGCACCCCGCCCCCCCGUGACAGUGCUGAUGGGCCCGCUGGCACGGACAAGUGUAGCUGAAGAAAUUAAUGUACUUUCCCGACCCCGGAUCCCGGUGCCCGCACCCGAGCGCGUUGCAGAGGGCCGCCCGGCGCUGGGUUUGAGAGCGGCCCGAGAAGGAGACGCCCUUAGGACGGAUCGUAGAUCGUAGACCGGGGAGGUUCCGGCGGGCACAGCGCGGCUCGGCUGGGAGCGGCACGGGGUGACGGCCGAGAGCCCCGGUCGCCCCGACGGGGCGGGCGGCCCUCGGCGUCACCGCGGCCCCUUCGGGGCUGAUCCCGUGGCCCCGGGUGGGCAGCGAGCGAACGAACCAACGUGUCCUUGGGCCAGAGGGGACGUGACACCGGCCGCCUGUUCUCCUGCCUCUCACGGCCCCGCAUCUUCCCAGCUCCCAGCGCAUUGAGCCCAAUCGUUUUGAUCCCUGGCAAUAAACUCAGGGCCUUCAGCAAUUAACUCACGCUCUUCAGCAAACUGACACUCCGUAUAGGGAAGGUUGUUAUUUCCUAGGCUUAUGAAGAGCAUCUUCUAGGGAAAGCCUGCUUGCUUUGUUCCCAUCGUGGGCUCUGUGCCCCGUCCUGGCCAUGUGCUGUCCCCUAGCCCAGAUGCCAGCCCUAGGGGCUCUCCAGCAGUCACACCCUCCUUGGUGCAUCUGAGGCCAGGUCCCACCUUAUCUUUAGGUAAAACAUGAAUUUGUAGAGUGGCUUUGGCCCGUCCAUCCUGUGGGUCACACCUGGACAUGCUGAGGGAUGCCUUCCUUGGGAGAGCUUGUCUGGUGAGGUGAAAGAGAAGAUGUGUUCACUGUCAUCUGUUAACUGCAGAAUCAUUUAUGUUGGAAGACAUCACUAAGGCCACCCAGGCCAACAGUCAACCCAUCACCACCACGUCCACUGGACCGUGUCACUCAGUGCCACAUCUACCCUUCUCUUGUAAUGCGGCCGAGUGUCUGCAAACUGGAUAUCUGAAACCACAGAACAAUGUAAAUACACAUUUUUUAAAAAAGGAAAGAAUUUAAAAAGAUAGAUGCUAAGCCAUUCUGGAGAUUUAAAUCAUAAAACUUUAAUCGAAUUAAUAAGUUCAAAUCUGUUCCUAGAUAUAGGCUAUUUCACUGAGCUUUAAUGUAUUUCCCCUUAAGAAGAUACUCUGUAAUUUAUGAUUGCUUGUGUAGAGGAUACAAUAGUUUGCAUAAAAAAAUGGAACUGGAGGCUCUUUGGCUGUGUGGUGGUGCUGGAGCCUCAUUUACCAUCUCCGUUAAAACGUACAUCUCUCUCCGACUCCAAAAUCUUUCCUACAGAAUUGCAAGCCCAGGCUAUGAGCUGGGAUUUAUACAGUUGUUUCU